GUCGAGCGGCGGACGGGUGAGUAAUGCCUAGGAAAUUGCCCUGAUGUGGGGGAUAACCAUUGGAAACGAUGGCUAAUACCGCAUGAUGCCUACGGGCCAAAGAGGGGGACCUUCGGGCCUCUCGCGUCAGGAUAUGCCUAGGUGGGAUUAGCUAGUUGGUGAGGUAAGGGCUCACCAAGGCGACGAUCCCUAGCUGGUCUGAGAGGAUGAUCAGCCACACUGGAACUGAGACACGGUCCAGACUCCUACGGGAGGCAGCAGUGGGGAAUAUUGCACAAUGGGCGCAAGCCUGAUGCAGCCAUGCCGCGUGUAUGAAGAAGGCCUUCGGGUUGUAAAGUACUUUCAGUCGUGAGGAAGGUGGCGGCGUUAAUAGCGGCGUUAUUUGACGUUAGCGACAGAAGAAGCACCGGCUAACUCCGUGCCAGCAGCCGCGGUAAUACGGAGGGUGCGAGCGUUAAUCGGAAUUACUGGGCGUAAAGCGCAUGCAGGUGGUUUGUUAAGUCAGAUGUGAAAGCCCGGGGCUCAACCUCGGAAUAGCAUUUGAAACUGGCAGACUAGAGUACUGUAGAGGGGGGUAGAAUUUCAGGUGUAGCGGUGAAAUGCGUAGAGAUCUGAAGGAAUACCGGUGGCGAAGGCGGCCCCCCUGGACAGAUACUGACACUCAGAUGCGAAAGCGUGGGGGAGCAAACAGGAUUAGAUACCCUGGUAGUCCACGCCGUAACGAUGUCUACUUGGAGGUUGUGGCCUUGAGCCGUGGCUUUCUGAGCUAACGCGUUAAGUAGACCGCCUGGGGAGUACGGUCGCACGAUUAUAACUCAAAUGAAUUGACGGGGGCCCGC
rnacentral:rRNA from 1 species